GGGCGUCUAGCUCAGUGGUAGUAGCGCUCGCUUUGCACUUUCUUCUAGCCAUAUGCGAGAGGUCAGGCGUUCGAUCCGCCUGUCGUCCA